AUGAAUAUCUCAACUCACCCGGUUUUUGUAAAUUGUGGUGGGCUUGGACUUGGAGGUAUGCUGGCUUUCCUAGUCGGCUCCUCUUUAAAUGUAUUAGCUGGACCCGUUACGGAUCAGUACUCGGUGUGAUAAUUGUCUACGCCGUGUCUGUGAAGUGCCUUAGUGGAUCAGCUGCUAAUCGUCUUCGGACAAUUUGACAUU
rnacentral:misc_RNA from 1 species